UUGCUGAAUAAGUGCGCGAAGAUCAAACAAGUGAUGCCAUAGUAAAUCCUGUCCGCUGGCGGGACUCGGCCUCUCUAGCUCUUAGUCUGAGGGUCUGAGAUUUACAGCUUGACCAUUUAUUUACUGAUAAACACUACUUCACCUAAGAGACUUGAGUAUCCAGUUCUUCGUUGACCUUCAGCAUUCAGUUGUUUGUCUUCACCUUUUCAGGUAAGCAAUUGAAGCAAAAAAUGCUUUUGUAAUGUUGAGAAACACUGAAAUUAUUAUUCAUAAAGAACUUUCAACCACUGUUCUGUGAUGUCAUGUAUAGUGAUAUACAAAUAUAUCUGAAGGAAGGAUAUCUGAAGGUGUAUUUGGGAUAAUCAAUAUUAUUAGUAUUAUUCAUGUAUUUAUUUACUUUUAAAUCAGAGAAUGGGGGGCAAAUAGAUUAUUAGUACAAAAACUAGUAACUAGUAAAAAAAAAUUGGUAACAAUAAUGUUCAUUCAUUAAUUGACGCUUGGUCAAACUCAUCUAAUUAAGUAUUGCUGUCUCAUUAACAUGUUGUAUUUAUUUAUUUAGUAGGCUAAAACCUGAGAAGCCAUCACCAUGUUGUUGUUUGUUGUUUUUCACAUUAUGCAGAUUUUUCAGCAUGUGGUCCUCAAUAUAUAGUAUAGAAGUCACUGCAUUUUCUGACUUUUCCAGGUUUCCUGUGUCCAGCAUCUUCAAGACAGACUGAGCUAACUUUUCACAUGUUUUGCACAUUUAUAUUUGGGUUAGGUUAGGUUAGGAGUAGGUUAGGUUUAUAGUAGAGUAUUUAGUUUGUAUAGUUUAGCUUUUUAUGCUGGUCUAGGGACAGUUAAGUUAGCAAAUUAAUUUAGUUCAGAUCACUUACAGUUGCAUAUUAUUGUUACAAUUGUGUUAUUUUGUGAGUUAUUGUUGUACAGGCUAUUGUAUAUUGCAGAACCAAGUGAGACGAGGAAGACCACUGCUUCCAAGAUGCCGCUCAGAAAGUGCAUUGGACAAGUCUCGACCUUGCAGAUCCUGCCCCACUUAGCCCAACAACUUCCGACCAUGGGGUACCUCAAAGACCUCCGUCAACCAGCCGGCUGUGGAUGAUGGAUAACGCACCCACAACUCCUUCUCCAGUCUACAAGGUAUGGGUUUGUUUUUUAAUUCUGCACAAAGUGAUACACAAAACAUUGUAUGUAUUCCAUUUCAACAAACACAAACAUGAAAUGUAUAUUUAAAUACAUGACUUAAUGCAAAUCAAUCUUACUAAACAUCAUCUUUUUUUUUUUAAACCAACCAUUGCACAAACUUCCAUCCAAGGAGAGGUUACAUCUUGAUGGUAACUUUUUAGAUUAACAAAACUUUUGUGAGAUUUGUUGUUUCUGGGGAGGGGGCAGAGAAGGUAAGUCUAAACAUUGCAUGCAAGAGACCAACACCGGUGUCUCAGGGGAAAGCUAUCUGU